rnacentral:rRNA from 1 species
UACAGAGGGUGCGAGCGUUGUUCGGAAUUACUGGGCGUAAAGCGCGCGCAGGCGGCCUUUUAAGUCUGACGGUGAAAUGCCGGGGCUCAACCCCGUGCCCGCCGGAGAUACUGGGAGGCUGGAGACAUGUAGAGGCAAGCGGAAUUCCGGGUGUAGCGGUGGAAUGCGUAGAGAUCCGGAAGAACACCGGAGGCGAAGGCGGCUUGCUGGGCUGACACUGACGCUGAGGCGCGAAAGCUAGGGGAGCAAACGGG